AUUACUCCACUCAAUAUCUUCAUCUUCCUCAAUUCACUCACCAUUGUCGAAAAUCCAAAACCUUUCAAUCCUCCCAUGGCCACCCAAAUGCAUGGCCCUUUACACCCAUUUUCAAGCUAUAUUUUCUUUACUUGUCUUCAUUAAAAGUGUUCUAUACAUCAUGGGCAGUAGAUAGGCAGUAAGAAAUGAAAGUUUUUGUGGAGUUUGAAGAAUUUCCAAAGUGGUAGACAGACAGACAGAGCAGCAGACUAGGCUGCUAGUACCUCCAGCGAGAGAUUUUCGGGUAUAACGAGUAUACCACAUUUUGCAUUUUGUACUGUAAUAUAUGUUCACUGUAUGUACAUAUUGUUUUUGGUUUUGAGCAGUUGUAAAUUAAAAUUGUACAUUGAAGUUGUAAAGUAAAUUAUGAGUUAUUUUGACUUGUAAAAAUUGUAUUAUAUUUCUUGUA